rnacentral:rRNA from 1 species
AGAGUUUGAUCCUGGCUCAGAUUGAACGCUGGCGGCGUGCUUAACACAUGCAAGUCGUGCGAGAAAGGGGACUUCGGUCCCUGAGUAGAGCGGCGCACGGGUGAGUAACGCGUGGAUGAUCUACCCAGAUAUUCGGGAUAACGGCGGGAAACUGCCGCUAAUACCGGAUACGCUCCAAUUUCGGUUGGGGGAAAGGCGGCCUCUGCUUGCAAGCUGUCGUAUCUGGAUGAGUCCGCGUCCCAUUAGCUUGUUGGUGGGGUAAUGGCCUACCAAGGCGACGAUGGGUAGCUGGUCUGAGAGGAUGAUCAGCCACACUGGAACUGAAACACGGUCCAGACUCCUACGGGAGGCAGCAGUGGGGAAUAUUGCGCAAUGGGGGAAACCCUGACGCAGCGACGCCGUGUGAGGGAAGAAGGCUUUCGGG